UUUCAACUAAUAAACCCAUCUCCAGGCCCAUUACCCACCCAGUCCCAGCUUCAGUGUAACUUUUCUUUCUCUCUCGCUCUCUCUGAAUCUUUCCCAAACAUGGCAGCUAAAACCCUACUACGUUCUGGAGCUUCGAUCGUAACUCGGUUUCUUAACUCGGGUUUAACUCAGAAACCCCCGAGUUCAACUCAGCAAAAAACCCUAAUUUCUUCUGCAUCGAAACUUUUGAUUUCUUCUUCCUUAUCAAAUCCUCACUCCUCUCUGUUUUUUUCUCCUCAAAACGAUGUCGUUUCUUCCAACAAUUUCAUCUCUCAUGAAAAUGAGAAUAUUGUAGAAGAAAAGAGGUUGGAGAUUGCGAAGAUUUUGAACCCUUGUGGUCUUCCUUCACUCGAGUUCUUCUUGCCUGAUGCCGAUGAUUCUUCAAACGAUUCAAUGAUCUUAUUUCCCAAGAGACCCUUCCAGCCAAGUACCCUCCGUCGCAAGAGGAAUCAUGGAUUCUUUGCACGCAAGGCUACAAAAGGUGGCCGUAGAGUGAUUGCUCGGAGAAUAGCAAAGGGGCGCCACCGAAUCACAGCUUAGAUCUUUUGUGCUAACCAGUUGCUUUUGCUCGCAAACGUUAGAGAGAAAGAGAGUUCCUUCAGAGCUCACGCCCGUACAAGCAAGAGUAGGCUGGUGAAAAGGCAGUUCCUCGAGCCUUAUGUUUUGUCAGCAUAUCUUGCGAUCUCUCAUAGAAAGGACUUUUGGAAAAAAAAAAGGAAGUAUUAGUUUUGACUUUUGGGAUAUCGGAUUCGAAUUUUACUUGUUUGUUCCAUUUCGGCACACCAGUGGAUGAAACUUUCUGUAGAACUUACUACCCGAUGCCCGAGGGUUCUGAUUCCGAAGGUAAUGAACCAUUAGACGAGAAAAGUGUAAACAUUAAUCAAUGAGCUAGGAUUGUUAUUUUGUUUAUUUGGAAAAUUAUAAAGGAAAACUCAUAUUUAGGAUGAUAUUUUAUCGUCAUGAGUACUAAAUUACAUUACGAUUACCAUAAUUUAUGACCAUACGGAUUGUAAAUGCCUAACACUAUGCUAUCCAAUAAUAUUGGUCUAGUAGUUUGUCUUGUA